rnacentral:rRNA from 1 species
AUUGAACGCUGGCGGCAUGCCUUACACAUGCAAGUCGAACGGUAACAGGUUAAGCUGACGAGUGGCGAACGGGUGAGUAAUAUAUCGGAACGUGCCCAGUCGUGGGGGAUAACUGCUCGAAAGAGCAGCUAAUACCGCAUACGACCUGAGGGUGAAAGCGGGGGAUCGCAAGACCUCGCGCGAUUGGAGCGGCCGAUAUCAGAUUAGGUAGUUGGUGGGGUAAAGGCCCACCAAGCCAACGAUCUGUAGCUGGUCUGAGAGGACGACCAGCCACACUGGGACUGAGACACGGCCCAGACUCCUACGGGAGGCGGCAGUGGGGAAUUUUGGACAAUGGGCGCAAGCCUGAUCCAGCCGUGCCGCGUGCGGGAAGAAGGCCUUCGGGUUGUAAACCGCUUUUGUCAGGGAAGAAAAGGUUCUGGUUAAUACCUGGGACUCAUGACGGUACCUGAAGAAUAAGCACCGGCUAACUACGUGCCAGCCGCCGCCGUAA